rnacentral:lncRNA from 1 species
AUGCGUCCCGGUGGUUUGGGACACGAGACUAACAACCCUAUCCCCUGGUAAAAGGGGAUACCAUUUACAUACCUUCCCUAGUCAUUGGGAACAAAACUUACUUUUCCUUCCCGGGUAUUGGGAAACCUUUUGGUUAAUUACUGUUUAUACGGAUUGCAACUAACGGCACUAAACGAAACUCUAUCACUCAAGUCCCUACUACAAAUACCGAUUAGUCGCCGGGUUAGGCGAGCGGGUUAUUAGUUGAUAGCGCUAUUUAGGUGUUUACCAGCCUCACACCGUGCCCUGGUUUGGGACGGGCGUGAACUAAUGUACUCAGAAAUCCGUCAAUGAUGAUAGAACAUUGACAUCGGGGCAUCCUGCGGAUACGCAACGGUUACCUAGUGUUCGGUAUUGGAAAAACAGUUUAGUCGCUAACUUUUGGGGUAGCUCCCCAGGGCAUGUAUAAACGGAUAAAUUAACCGGUGAAACAAGUUUUUGGUAAUUAAAACUGGACAACUAGUGAACUCACUCAGCAUUAUUGUUGACUCCUUACUGCAUGCUUUGCAGGUAACCAAUGAUUCAGGAGCUGCUACUUGGGGAAGUGUAGUGUUCGUCAAACCCGUGUGUUGGGAUAACUGUUUUGAUCAAUGAACUGUCUUUAAAACUAUUUUGGUUUAUGCUUCCGCUGUUUUGUUAAACUAAUUACCGAAUCUAAACUCUAAUGUUGUUAAUUACUUCGGAUUUUAAAUAUUUCUUCUAUUAAUUAAAUGCUCAGUAUAAUUGGUGGCUGGAUCCUGGUCAGUCACGCCCUCGAAGCGGGUGUUAUCCGCAGGUGGAUUUUGGGGGUGUGACAUUA